AGAGUUUGAUCAUGGCUCAGGAUGAACGCUGGCGGCGUGCCUAAUACAUGCAAGUCGAACGCGCAGCGAGAGGUGCUUGCACCUUUCAAGCGAGUGGCGAACGGGUGAGUAACACGUGGAUAACCUGCCUCAAGGCUGGGGAUAACAUUUGGAAACAGAUGCUAAUACCGAAUAAAACUUAGUAUCGCAUGAUAUAAAGUUAAAAGGCGCUACGGCGUCACCUAGAGAUGGAUCCGCGGUGCAUUAGUUAGUUGGUGGGGUAAAGGCUUACCAAGACAAUGAUGCAUAGCCGAGUUGAGAGACUGAUCGGCCACAUUGGGACUGAGACACGGCCCAAACUCCUACGGGAGGCUGCAGUAGGGAAUCUUCCACAAUGGGCGCAAGCCUGAUGGAGCAACGCCGCGUGUGUGAUGAAGGCUUUCGGGUCGUAAAGCACUGUUGUAUGGGAAGAAAUGCUAAAAUAGGGAAUGAUUUUAGUUUGACGGUACCAUACCAGAAAGGGACGGCUAAAUACGUGCCAGCAGCCGCGGUAAUACGUAUGUCCCGAGCGUUAUCCGGAUUUAUUGGGCGUAAAGCGAGCGCAGACGGUUGAUUAAGUCUGAUGUGAAAGCCCGGAG
rnacentral:rRNA from 1 species